rnacentral:rRNA from 1 species
GUUGAACGCUAGCGGCAGGCUUAAUACAUGCAAGUCGAGGGGUAGCAAGAUUGUAGCAAUACAAUUGUUGACGACCGGCAAACGGGUGCGGAACACGUACACAACCUUCCUACAAGUGGGGAAUAGCCCAGAGAAAUUUGGAUUAAUACCCCGUAACAUAGCGAUGUGGCAUCACAUUGCUAUUAUAGCUUCGGCGCUUGUUGAUGGGUGUGCGGCUGAUUAGAUAGUUGGCGGGGUAACGGCCCACCAAGUCUACGAUCAGUAGCUGAUGUGAGAGCAUGAUCAGCCACCCGGGCACUGAGACACGGGCCCGACUACUACGGGAGGCAGCAGUAAGGAAUAUUGGACAAUGGACGCAAGUCUGAUCCAGCCAUGCCGCGUGAAGGAUUAAGGUCCUCUGGAUUGUAAACUUCUUUUAUAAGGGACGAAAAAAGGUCUUUCUAGAUCGUCUGACGGUACCUUAUGAAUAAGCACCGGCUAACUCCGUGCCAGCCGCCGCCGUAAGAC